rnacentral:rRNA from 1 species
GAUGAACGCUAGCGGCAGGCCUAAUACAUGCAAGCCGAACGGCAAGCUUUGUAGCAAUACGGAGCCUAGAGUGGCGUAAGGGUGCGUAACACGUAUGCAAUCUACCCUCAACAGGAGAAUAGCUCCCCGAAAGGGGAAUUAAUGUUCCAUAGGAUCAUGGUGCGGCAUCGCACAGUGAUUAAACCGCAAGGGGUUGAGGAUGAGCAUGCGCANGAUUAGUUAGUUGGCGGGGUAACGGCCCACCAAGACGAUGAUCAUUAGGGGAACUGAGAGGUUGAUCCCCCACACUGGCACUGAGAUACGGGCCAGACUCCUACGGGAGGCAGCAGUAGGGAAUAUUGGACAAUGGGUGAGAGCCUGAUCCAGCCAUGCCGCGUGCAGGAAAGAAAG